AUGCUCGCUACAGCAGCACAAACACUAAAAUUGGAACGAUACAGAGAUUAUCAUGCCCCCGAGCAAGGAUGACACUCAAAUUCAUGUAGCAUUUCAUAAAAAA